CCUCCCAGGCUGACAAGAACUAACAGAGGAAAUAACGUGCAGUUUUAAAGGGCAGUGAUCAAGGCAGCAAUCACGUUCUAGCUGAGGAAACUUCCGGAUAUUCAGGGAGCAAGCUGUAUUUUUGCAGCGUUUGUUCUGGGAGGAUUGCAGCUAUACCACCGAGAGACCGAAGCAAAUUUUCUUAAUGUUUGAUUUCACUUUCCUGAUGCUCGAGAGGGUGUCUAGGAAGCGAGGUACCGUUCAGCAGUGCUGUGCUGCCAGAAAUGCUCGCUGAGCCCGUGCGAGGAGGAAAUCUCACCGGAACUGCUGGCGUUACCCCAGAAAGACCCUCUGCAGACUGACUCCACGUCCUCAGAGCUGAUCUCAUCGGGGCCUACCAAACACAUUAACGACGUCGAAAGUAGCCUACUUUAAGAGGAAAUAUGCAGAAGAAGAACAUUUACAUCAAGAUUGCCAUGAGUAUUGUCCAAAACACCUGAUACUACCCGAGGACCGGACUUGUAUUCUAAAACUUUCUCUCCAGAAACUCCGAUUCCUGGAAGACCCUGAAGCCUACCUCCGUAGGUCUGUAUUAAUUAACAAUCUGUUGAGGAAGAUUCACCUAGAGACAGAGAGGGAGAGCUAUGAAUACUUUAAGGAGGCUCCGUGUUAUAGGACUGCUUACUCUGAUGCACGAAAACGGCUGAAGUUUAUGGUACACGAGUGCUGUUCCCAGUCGCUCUAUUAUGAAGAGCUGCAUUCGUAUCGUAUCGUGCCUUAUUCUGCAGAGAACGCCGUUUACGGAAUGGGCUACACAAGCAGCCACUUGGAGCAAAAUUCUCAAUUGCUUAUUUAUAAAAUGAAUUAAAGUAGCUGUUAGACCCACCUAUGUUUGUUUCUGAAUGCUUGAACUGCUUAUUGAGGUGUUAAGAUGAGGCACUAAUUGCAGAGAUACUUAAUGAUCAAGCCGGGUGCGGUAGGAGCUGAGCGAAUGGCACUUUGAAAUCCGCUCCGCAGCCCCAGUUUUAACCCCGUGGCUAUGAAGUACCUUGGCACACACACGGAGCUGGUGCAAUACACAGGUCCUUACCCACUGAGGCUGUGUGCAGCAUGUUGUGUAGAAGCAAAGCCGCAUUUAAGUUCUGUGUGUGUAGAUACAGACAUUGAAAAUCACUUUGCAGUUAAAUUCUGCCAUUCCUGGCAGAAGGGGAGCCCCUAGAGUAGCAGAGUAGUCUAACAGUGAGGAGUAAAAAGCAAGUUAUUUACGUAAAGGCAUAGAUAGAAAGUUUCUUUGAGGAAAUGUUUGGAAUAUGAAGGAGUCAGUGCCAAAGGAAAUAGCCUUUUGCUUAGGAUUUUCAGAGACUAACUCGCUUGCUACUUACAAGACACUCUAUACUGAGACUUACAAGGUUAUUUUUUUUUUUUUUUAGAAUAAUUGCAUUCACCUUUUUACAUAUUAUUAUCUCUUAGCUGGUAUCUAUUUUGCUAUUUUAAUACAGAACAGAAUGACUCACAGGAAAAAUUGCUUCUUCAGCCCGCCAUCAGUGUUUCCUUAGCUUCAUUUGAUUCUUCCCCUAGUUGUUUCCCUGAUACUUUUCUGCAUGCUAAUUUGCUGUUUGGCCGGAGGUUCACAUUGGUGCUAGGGAAUAGACAGUCAUUUAUUUUUACGUGGAAUAAACAAGGCAGAAAAACAACCAUAACUCCUAUCGAUAGAGAAUGAAUGUACGUGACAGAUGCUAGUAAAGCCUCAGAGAUUCUCCUGAUGAAGCUACUCAGCAUUCGUAAUAGUGUUUCAGGUCAAGUGAAAUGUCUAAUUUCAAUCUGGGAAUUAACCUUAGAAUAUGUAAAUAUAUAUUUCGCAAGCUAUGAAAUGACAUGAGAGAUGUUCAGCAAAUCGAUGACUACAAGUGGAAAGUUUUAUAGCUGCCAAAGCUAUGUCAUGAAAAUACCAAAGAGUAAUAUAAGGGAAAAGAUGAUGCUCCAGCAAUGGGGUCAAAAGCAAAGAUUGCACUAUAACCUGUGGAAAUGUGAUUGAUGAGCCUGUAAAUUAUCAGUUGCUGAUACACCUGCUGUUCUCCGGAGGGUGGCUCACAACCCAGAAUCACUGAACAAAUACGCAAAAUGGUCCAAAGCCUGUCCUCUAGGGCUGUUGGCUUCCAGUGAAGAAAUUGGCUUUGCCUGCCUGGCUAUCACCCCCGCAGCUUUAAAGCAAAGUAAUAGCACACUCUCAGCUGGAGGCAGAUAUGUAUCUAAGAACAUGAUUUUUUUUUUAUUUUGAAAGGGUUUUCUCAUGCGGGUCUGGCCGAUGCUAUUUCUGAAGCAUUAUGGAGUACGAACAAAUACCAUUGCUUGACAGGGAUGUGUUUAGUGUAGGAUUCCUUCUGUAACCCUGCCCGGAGCAUCUUAGUUGUGUGUGUUGCACGUCAUCGCAGCUGUCAGGCACGUGUUCAUAGCGCAGGAAAAAAGAUAGGAAGGCAAGAGCAGAAGGUGUGAAGAGCAAAGUCAGCUCAUAUAUCAGCAGUUGGAAGCAGGACAGGUUUAGGGGAUAGAACGGAGCAGUUAAAUACAACUUUUUAAUGAGAAAAAAAUGCAACAGCUGAUUUCAAAACAAGGAUAGCCUGCAAACUGGGGAACACGAACAGCACAGGUAUUGCAGUGAGGCUGGAAGGACAGGGCAGCGCUGUGUUUGGGAGGCCCUGUUGGUUGUUAUGAAUGUUCAGGCUGUGAGAAGCAGCUUUUGGUUUUGUGCUGAGGCAGGGCAUACUUCUUUGCCUCUUCAAAAAGGUGUCAUCAGCCCCUUGCUGUGCAACACAGGGGGCUUUGCCUCCCUCCCAAAAAACUCGUGCUGGGCCCUGUUUGGGGAGUCUCCAGCUACAAGGGUCUGUGCCCAGCUCGACAGGGGCCAGCUGAGAGAGGCUGGCUAAUUGCUCAUUGCCAGCUGGGCGCAGCAGCCCUCGUACCUUAAGCAGAAGCUGGAAGCCAACCCCGUGCUGCACAGGAGGGGGCUGAUGGCUGAUGGGCGCCACGAGAGGUGCUGUGAGCCCCCGGGGAGCUCCCAGCCCCUGUUGGCCCCUGGGAUCCUCCUGGGGACACAGAAGCCAGGCCUCAGGAGGCUGCUGGGUGUUACAGGGGAACUGUUCCUCUUGUCUGGUGUUUCAAAAUAUGUAAUUUGCUGCUCUGAAGUGAUCCAAUUUAUAUGCUUCUUUGUUCUUUGUGUGUUUCUGCCUGAACUCAUGAUGAUCUAGCUACUACAUGAAAUGCUAAAACGCUUCUGUUUUUCCUCUGCCCUGCUUUAUUACAUUCAUACGACGGUCCUGGCCUGAAAAACAAAACUUUUUACAUAAAAU